GACAAAUUUUUCUGACUGGAGAGAUGUGCCCCCAUCUGAAAAUAUUCAGUGUAUCUACAUUUCAGUGGCAAAAGAUCUUGCUAUGCUUAGCUGCAUGUGUAGAGCUGAAAAAUUCAGAAGAAAUAGAUUAUUACAGAAACCUCAGUUCCUGUCUUUCCUUGUCUGGCUAUUGUGAAAGGAAGAACUUUCUAAAAUUAGUGAAGGAAUGUACAGUACAUUUUUUGGCCCUCAUCAGUUAUAAAGAAACAUGGGAUGACUGACAUUUUCAGUCAUACUGUGCUUAUUCAACACCUACAUCAGUGACCUGGAUGAAACAAUAGAAUGUGCCCUCAGAAAGUUUUCUAAUGACACAAAGCUGAGAGGAGUGGCUGGUACAUCAGAACGCUGUGCUGCCUUCAGCAAGACCUGGACAGAUUGGAGAGCUGAGAGGACAGGAACCUGAUGAGGUUCAGCAAGGGCAAGUACUAAGUCCUGCAUAUGGGAAGGAAUUACCACAUGCACUUUCUGCAGGUUAACGGCUGACCUGAUGAAGAGGAGCCCAGCACAGAAGGAUCUGGACGUUUUGGUGGGCAACAGGUUAGCCAUGAACCAGCCGUGUGCCCUUGUGGCCAAGAAGACGAACAGUAUGCUCGGUGCGUUAAAAAUAGCAUGGCUAGCAGGUUGAAGGACAUGACCCUCAUGUUCUGCUCUACCCUGGUGAGGCCACAUCUGGAGUACUGCGUCCAGUCUGGGCCCCUCUAUUCAGGAAAUACAGGAACUUCUAGAGAGAGUCCAGCGGAGGGCCCCAAAGAUUAUGCGAGACCUGGAGCAUCUCCAUUAUGAGGAAAGACUGAGAGACCUGGGGCUGUCCAUCCUGGAGUGGUGAAGGCUGAGAGGAAAUCUUCUCAAUGCUUAUAAGUAUCUACAAGAUGGGAGUCAAGUGGAUGGGGCCAGACUAUUUUCAACAGUGCCUAGAGACAGAACAAGGAGCAAUGGGCACAAACUGGAACAUACGAAGUUCUGUAUGAUCAAGAGGGAGAAGUUGUUCUUUACUGUGAAGGUGACAGAGCAUGGGAACAAGCUGUCCAGAGAGAUUAUGGAGUCUCCUUCUCUGGAGAAAUUCAAGAUCUGCCUGGAUGAUUUCCUGUGUAACUUAUUCUAGGGAACUUGCUUUAGCAGAGAUGUUGGACGAGGUGAUCUCCAGAGAUCACUUCCAACCCCAUGAUUCUAUGAUUCUGUGUGAAAUAGAAAUUUUCAAACGAAACAUAGGGGGAAAAAAUAGAAAUUAUUAUAUUAAAUGAUUCAUUUUCCUUGUAAAAAAGGCUUUCCGAUUAAUAUUUUUAAGUGUUUUUUGUUGUUUUCUUCUUUAGCAAAUAUUAACUAAAGUUUGCUGUGGGCAAUGUAAAUCCAAUUCUUAUUGACUACAAUGACCAAAAAUAUAGUAUUGUUGGAGAUACAGAAUCAUUAAUGUGAUGAUAUGUUGGUUUCAUAUGAGAAAAUUCCAUGUGAUCCUCUCAUAUUGUAGCUUCACAGUAUACCAGCUUAAUGACACUUUAAAGCAUUCCCAACCCUUCAUCCCUCAGCUGUACCACCAGGAGUGUUCAUGAGGCUCUCUGCUGAAAUGAUGAAUUAGCCCAGGUAAAAAAUAGCGCAGUGGGAAAAUAGAAAAAUUUGUCCUCAAGCCAGGUAUGUUCAGUGAUGUUGGUGUCACUACAGCUCCACAAACAGAUAUAUGCCUGAAUGUGGUGGAAUGGCAUGCAUAGAAGCAGCUGGACCACAGAUACAUGAUGGGAACUCCUUACUCUUCCAAGUGUGGGUACUGUGAAACUGAUAAUGUUAGAGAAAUGCAAUUUUUAAUGAAAGUCAUUUAUCAGCUAACAAUGUGGCAAAACUGUCAGGAUGACCUCAGUACCAGGAAGGUUAUGGAGCAGAUCAUCUUGAAUAUCUUCAUAUGGCACAGAAUGGACAAUCAAAUAAUCAGAAGAAGCCAGCAUAACUUUAUGAAAGGCAAGUCCUGCCUGACUAACUGGAUCUCUUUUAUGACAAGAUAAACCACUUAGUAGAUGAGGAAAGGCUGUAAUUUUGUUCACCUCCAUUUUAGUAAAUUGUUUAACACCAUUUCCCACAGCAUUCUUGAAGAACUGUCUGCUCAAGACUUGGACAGAUAUUGGUUUGCUAGGUGAAGAACUGGAUGGAUAACCAGUCUCAAAGCAUCAUUAGAAAUGGUGUUCAGUACACCAGGCAGCUACUCAUCAAAAGCAUUCACCAGGGCUCAGUUGUGGUAUCAGAUUUUUUUUAACAUUUUUAUCAGUGAUUUGGGUGAGAGAAUUGAAUGCAUCCUUAACACAUUUGCAGAUGACACCAAGUUAAUCAGGACCUACUUAAAGAUAGGAAAGUUCUGUAGAGGAAUCUGGAUAGGCCAGAUCAAUGGACUACAUCCAAUUGUGUGGCAUUCAACAAAGCUAAAUGAGUGUUCCACUUGGGUCAUAGUAACCCCAUGCAACAUUACAGGCUUGGGAAAGAGUGUCUGGAAAGUUGCUCAGUAGAAAAGGUCCUGAAGGUGCUGGCUGACAGCUCACAGAACAUGAGCCAUUAGUGCGCAUGAGUGGCCAAGAAACUCAGCUGUGUCCUAGCUUGUAGUAGAAGUAGUGUGUUUAGUAGGACUAGGGAAGUGAUUGCCCCCUUGUAUUAGGCACAGAUGAAUGCAUACCUUGAGCACUGUGUUCAGUUUUGGGCAUCUCAUUACAAGAAAGACAUCAAGUUGCUUGAGCACAUGCAGAGAAAAGUAACAAAGCUGACAAAGGCACUAGAAAACAAGAUUUAUAAGGAGUAGUUGAGGGAGUUGGGACUGUUCGAGCUGUGCUGGGGAGACUUAGAUUAGUCAUUAGGAAGAUUUAUUCAUGGGGAGGGUUAUGCAGAAUUGGAAAAGACCAUUCAGGGAAGUGAUGGAGACUUCAUUUCUGAAGGUAUUUAAGACAUGUAUGGAUAUAGCACUGAGGGAUGUGAUUUGGUGAUGGGAUUUGGUAGCUCAAAUUCACAGUUGGGCUUGAUGGCCCUGACAGUCUUUUUGAAUUUAGAUGAUUUUACAAUUCUUGACAGCAUGUAUAGAUAUUAAAGAGCAGAGUUAACCACAAUUCUUGGGAGGUGAAUUUGUGCUUAAUUUAAUAUAGUUGCUGAACCAUCAUGCUUGGAUGAAAACUGUGCAUACAUGUCCAACCCAGUAGCUUUAUGUUUUUGUUGCCCUAACUUUUCAUCCUUUAGAAAAGAAAAUGAAUUUUUACUUACAUACAUUGACUAUUUUAUAUGUGACCCAAGACAAUUCUUCUUCACUCAGUGUGUCCCAAGCAAGUUAAAAUGUUGGACACUCAUGUGAGGUUUGUGUUCAGCUGUGGAACAGAAAGGAAAAGACUCAAACCUGUCUAUUAAUCUGUAUUAUUUCAAUCAUUUGGGUCACAGAAACCAUCUUGGGCAAUGUCAUCAACCAUUCUUCAAACUCUGUAACAUAGUACGGCAUAAAUUCCAACUGCAGAUUUCCUUUGUCAUUACUGAAUAAAUGUAGUUUAAAAUCUAUGUAUGAAGCACAUUAGGUCUGAUUUGAUAUCUUUCUGAACUUCUAGGUAUCUCUAAAAACAAAAGUCUUCAGUUUGAUUAAAUUAGUUUUUAUGAA